rnacentral:lncRNA from 1 species
AAAAUAAAUAAAACAUCAAAAGAUUUUCCUUUGCAGUUUUGAUGAGCAUGAUUUCCAAAUGGAUUCAGGGAGGAGGGAAUGAAAAAUCGAUGUCGAUGACACAGAGGUCAGAAACAUUUGGCUGGAGGCGCUAGUAACCAAGUGCAAAAGAAGGUUUCCCAAAGCAUGGCUUAUGGGCUACUCACAUAAGUACCUGAGGAAGCUAAAUGCAAUUCAGUUUCCAGCUCCUUCUCUAAUUUUACUAAGAAUUUGAGAACAGACUCCAGAAGCAAUUUUGUUGACCAAGAGCACCCAACAGAAUUGGCAACGAGAAGAGCGUGGCGCAGUACCCGGGAAGCGUUAAAUGCUAGAAAGCUCCGUAGGUGAUGCUGACAGAUGACACUGUUGCAGAAGCAAGCUGGGAAAGAUUGGAGGGGAAAGCCCAGCAGUUUUGCAUGAGAAGAGCAAGUUUAAGUCUCUAGUGAAAUAGUCGGAAACAUCUCUGCCAACUGUGAACAAGGAAGCACGGAUCACAGGGGAGAAAAAUCCGGGAGCAACCCGGGAAGUGAAGAAUUCCAGAUGCUGGACGCCACCUGGUGGGGACCUGGAGGUUUUUGGAAAAAAAAACAAAAAAAAACAAAAUAAAUGCCUGGAUUUCAGAACUGGG